UACGUAGGGAGCAAGCGUUGUCCGGAAUCAUUGGGCGUAAAGCGCGCGUAGGCGGCCCUGUAAGUCCGUUGUGAAAGUCAAAGGCUCAACCUUUGAAAGCCGAUGGAUACUGCAGGGCUAGAGUCCGGAAGAGGCGAGUGGAAUUCCUGGUGUAGCGGUGGAAUGCGCAGAUAUCAGGAGGAACACCAAUAGCGAAGGCAGCUCGCUGGGACGGUACUGACGCUAAGGCGCGAAAGCGUGGGGAGCGAACAG
rnacentral:rRNA from 1 species